rnacentral:rRNA from 1 species
GACGGACGCUGGCGGCGUGCCUAAUACAUGCAAGUUGAGCGCUGAAGGUUGGUACUUGUACCAACUGGAUGAGCAGCGAACGGGUGAGUAACGCGUGGGGAAUCUGCCUUUGAGCGGGGGACAACAUUUGGAAACGAAUGCUAAUACCGCAUAAAAACUUUAAACACAAGUUUUAAGUUUGAAAGAUGCAAUUGCAUCACUCAAAGAUUAUCCCGCGUUGUAUUAGCUAGUUGGUGAGGUAAAGGCUCACCAAGGCGAUGAUACAUAGCCGACCUGAGAGGGUGAUCGGCCACAUUGGGACUGAGACACGGCCCAAACUCCUACGGGAGGCAGCAGUAGGGAAUCUUCGGCAAUGGACGAAAGUCUGACCGAGCAACGCCGCGUGAGUGAAGAAGGUUUUCGGAUCGUAAAACUCUGUUGGUAGAGAAGAACGUUGGUGAGAGUGGAAAGCUCAUCAAGUGACGGUAACUACCCAGAAAGGGACGGCUAACUACGUG